AGGAGAGAUGGCUUAAAGGGGUACGAGGGCUUCUUCCACGUAUUCGCUCCAGGAUGGGACUGCGACCGAUCAGGCUGUUGGCGGGGUAAUGGCCCACCAAACCUGUAACCGGUACGGGCCUUGAGAGAGGUGGCCCGGAGAUGGACACUGAGAGAAGGGUCCAGGUCCUACGGGGCGCAGCAGGCGCGAAACCUUCGCAAUGCGCGAAAGCGUGACGAGGUUAAUCCGAGUGACUCCCGCUGAGGGGGUCUUUUGUCAGCUGUAAAUAGGCAGGCGAAUAAGGGGAGGGCAAGCCUGGUGUCAGCCGCCGCGGUAAUACCAACUCCUCGAGUGGUCGGGACGAUUAUUGGGCCUAAAGCAUCCGUAGCCGGUUCCGUAGGUCUUCUGUUAAAUCCAACAGCUUAACUGUUGACCUGCAGAGGAUACCGCGGGACUAGGAGGCGGGAGAGGCGGACGGUACUCCGCGUGUAGGGGUAAAAUCCUUUGAUCCGCGGAAGACCACCAGUGGCGAAGGCGGUCCGCCAGAACGCGCUCGACGGUGAGGGAUGAAAGCUGGGGGAGCGAACCGGAUUAGAUACCCGGGUAGUCCCAGCCGUAAACGAUGCUAGCUAGAUGAUUCAUUCGCAAGUCGCGAAUGAAGUGUCGCAGGGAAGCCGUUA
rnacentral:rRNA from 1 species